UAAGGAAUAUUGCUCAAUGGGAGAAAUCCUGAAGCAGCAACGCCGCGUGGAGGAUGAAGGGUCUAUGACUUGUAAACUCCUGUAAAGAAGGAAAAAAUUCCCAUUAGAUGGGAGAUGAUGGUACUUCUGGAGUAAGCCCCGGCUAACUACGUGCCAGCAGCCGCGGUAAUACGUAGGGGGCAAGCGUUGUCCGGAUUUACUGGGUGUAAAGGGUGCUCAGGCGGAUUUGUAAGUCAGAGGUGAAAUCUUACAGCUUAACUGUGAAACUGCCUUUGAUACUGCAAGCCUAGAGUAUGGAAGAGAGUGAUGGAAUAUCUGGUGUAGCAGUGAAAUGCGUAGAUAUCAGAUAGAACACCCAUGGCGAAGGCAGUCACUUGGUCCAUUACUGACGCUAAAGCACGAAAGCGUGGGUAGCAAACA
rnacentral:rRNA from 1 species